AAAGUUUCAACAACAGAUCUCUUGGCUCUCGCAUCGAUGAAAAACGCAGCAAAGUGCGAUAAGUAAUGUGAAUUGCAAAAUUCAGUGAAUCAUCAAAUCUUUGAACGCCCCUUGCGCUCCUUGGUAUUCCUCAGAGCAUGCCUGUUUGAGUAUCAU
rnacentral:rRNA from 1 species